ACACAACCCUCCGGCACGUUAGGAGUUAAUAGGCUUGUGCGAGGCUGCUCUCCCUGCCAUGACACAAUAUACGGCUCCAAACAGCUGCAAAUCCCUGCGGCUCUCGGGGACUAGAUUAGUGUUGAGAGAGCAGUGGAAGGAUACAAUGUUUACAGUUAGGAGGAAGCAGUGACAAGGUCAGUAUGGGGAAUCCAGGGAAGAGAGAGCCUGCGAAACGGGCAUAAUCUCAGGACGGAUUAGUUCUCUCGCUCACCUUGCACCCUGAUCUCCACACCCAUGGGGUGUUUACCACCGUUUCAUAGUAUUCAUUGUUUUAAGUUUUUUGUUUUUUUUCCUUUUCUUUUCAAACUCUUUCUGCUCCUUUGGCCUUGAAUUCUCCCAAAGCUGCAAUUGACGUCAGAAUGGCGUCACCGAAUCCUAAAGUACCAGACGGCACGUGGCCUCAUUUAAAGGGAGAGCCAGCAGCUGGACCCAGAAUGCUGAGGUUGUGCGCUGCAGCUGUUCCACAAUCUCAAAAGCUCAAAAAAACAAAACUAAAUACAGUACUAGAGAUCGAUCGAUAUUGAUUUUUUUUUUUAGAGCUGAUACCGAUAAUCUGUGAACUUUCAGGUCGAUAGCCGAUAACUUACCGAUAUUCUGUACCUUUACCAUUUAAAAAAACAAAACUAUUU